GGGGCCGUGCGGGGAAAGACCCGGAGUCUGGAGGGAGAACUCGGGAGAGGGGCCGCGUGGGGAGAAAGACCCAGAGUCCGGAGCGAGAAGAGCUCGGGAGAGGGGCCGCACGGGAAGAAAGACCCGGAGUCCGGAAGGAGAAGAACUCGGGAGAGGGGCCGCGCGGGGAGAAAGACCCGGAGUCCGGAAGGAGAAGAACUCCGGAGAGGGGCCUCGAGGGGAGAAAGACCUGGAGUCCGGAGCGAGAAGAACUCGGGAGAGGGGCCGCGCGGGGAGAAAGACCUGGAGUUUGGCGGAAGAAGUGAGAAGCAGGGAGAAAGGGGGUGCCCGGUGAGAGCCGCGGUGGGGGUGCUUGUGCAGGGAGGGGCACAGACUUACAGUGACUUUGGACUUUUUUUUUUUUUUUUUUUUUUUUUUUGAGACAGAGUCUCCCUC
rnacentral:lncRNA from 10 species